GCAUGGCCAUGGAUUUAUGGUGGGGUCUGCUUGGUGACCCCCUCAUAGUGUACUCCAUGCAAAAGUGAGCCACUGCUCCGAACCAUUGGCAGGUUUUUAUGUGUGGAUCUGACCACUGAGGUGAGCAGCACAACC
rnacentral:snoRNA from 1 species